GUCCAGCUGAUGAGUCUCAAAUAGAACGAAAUGCGCGUCCUGGAU
rnacentral:hammerhead_ribozyme from 1 species